UCUAGAAGCUGCAUCACAGGCCACAUAUAAAAUCCUGUUCUCUAGAAAAGCAUUAGCCCGUCUAGCCGUGUACUGGGGCAGGGCUGAGCAGGGACAUCAGUGCUGUGACCCAGCGCAGGGCACCUGCCCCUCACCUUGUCCCUCUGCCAGCCUUGGUCACCUACGGGAAGAACUGGAUGCAGCCAGUACCCCCAGUAAUCCAGCACAGGGACAUGUCUUGGGCCACCUGGGGCCUUUUUAUUGGAUUUUUUUAAGUGAUCACCCUGGGCAUGAGACCUUCUCAGUGACUGAAGAAACAGGGAUGAUGAAAUACAGAAAACCUUCCAGGAAUUGGACUGCUUUUUACUGAGUGAGAUGACAGCAAAGCCCCUUGCUCACAACCCACUGCUGUCUGGAAGUAAGAGGCUCUGCAUCUCCUGAGGCAGAACUUCUCUCCAGGAGGCGCCAGAACAGGAGCACCCCAGCGAGGUCCAUCUACAAUGCAAGAGAGGGAAAGAGGAGACACUUGUCUUAGCUCUGCCCUGCCCUGCCCUGCCCUGCCCUGCCCUGCUGACAUGGGGAUUCAUUUAUCAGUCUGUUUUCAUUUAUUCCUCUCACCAAAGAGUAUCACAGAUCUUUACAAUGUGCCGCAGGAGCUGUGGCUGUUCUGGGCUUGGGAGCGAACGGCACAGGAUCUUCACGAUGCAGAUGAUGUAAUCACAGCGGUCUGAAACAUUUUUCUGACAUCUAUAUUCCAUUUAAAUCCACAAUUAUGGUUGACUUUUCUUUGAUUGAAGAUAUUCCAGAAAGAUGGACUGAAAUGGUAAUUGCACUAUUUUAUCUUAAGAUAUGAAUCUGAGACUGAUCCUUCUGGUCUUAUGAAAUUACAGUCAACAUGUUAUUUUCUCCAUUUGUGCAUGAAACAUAUAUACAACGGUGGUUGCCACAAUAUAUAUUUAGUCUUAACUUGUCAGAACCAUCAGCUAAAAAAUAUUCAAAUGCUUCAACCAUUUUAUUAACCAGGAUUAUGUACAAGAAAGUCUGUUUCAGAGUGUAAGUUUUAGGAGACAUUGUAAUUUAAUAGUAAAGAUUUUAUUUUAUUUUUUAGUACUAUAGUUGUCUUCCUUCAGCAGCCACAUGGAUGAUUUUUUGUCCAGCAUUACUGGUAUUAUGGUUACCCCUUCUCUCCCACAGGAUGACUUUUUCCACAUUAGAUAGCAAUAACUUUCUUUUCAGAACCUAGAUACUACAGCAAAUCCAAUUAAAGUUUUCCUUCAAGUCAAAAGGAAGAAAAUCAUUUUAGCACUGGAAAACAUUAAUUUGUUACUCUGGCUUCACAUUAUCAUGAAAUUUGUGGGGGAUGUUCAGUGUGGUUUUGAAUAAUCUCACUAAUAAACUGAUUAUAAGUUACUCUUUUAUAUUUCUUCCAGAUUGUUCCACAAAAUAUUUUUCAUUAUCAAAUCAGAUAACUGGCAAAUAAAACUUCUUACUUAACAUGUUUAUCCACGUGAAUUAUAGUAACUCUUGAUCACUAGAUUUUCAGGUCCUGCACAGAAUCCCAUGAGAAUUCUUUCAGAUUUGUAAGCACUUUUUCCAGACACUUUGAUUGUUGAAAUAGGAAAAAAGGCCAGAAUAGAGAACUAUUUCUUGGUUCAUAUAGGCUCCUUCAGAAGAAGGAAAAAUAAUUUUAAAAAAUCUAAAUGCCUUUUUUCGUGGAAAAUAAA